ACAUGCAAGUCGAGCGGUAACAGAAAUUAGCUUGCUAAUUUGCUGACGAGCGGCGGACGGGUGAGUAAUGCCUGGGAAUAUGCCUUAGUGUGGGGGAUAACUAUUGGAAACGAUAGCUAAUACCGCAUAAUGUCUUCGGACCAAAGAGGGGGAUCUUCGGACCUCUCGCGCUAAGAUUAGCCCAGGUGAGAUUAGCUUGUUGGUGAGGUAAGAGCUCACCAAGGCGACGAUCUCUAGCUGGUCUGAGAGGAUGAUCAGCCACACUGGAACUGAGACACGGUCCAGACUCCUACGGGAGGCAGCAGUGGGGAAUAUUGCACAAUGGGCGAAAGCCUGAUGCAGCCAUGCCGCGUGUAUGAAGAAGGCCUUCGGGUUGUAAAGUACUUUCAGUCGUGAGGAAGGGUAUGUAGUUAAGAGCUGCAUAUCUUGACGUUAGCGACAGAAGAAGCACCGGCUAACUCCGUGCCAGCAGCCGCGGUAAUACGGAGGGUGCGAGCGUUAAUCGGAAUUACUGGGCGUAAAGCGCAUGCAGGUGGG
rnacentral:rRNA from 1 species